UCCGCUGUAAUCACUGUCCCAGAUGAUGCCUGAGACAUGAAUACUGACACCGCCCACCACAGCAGCUCCAAAGGUUCUCAGGUCAGCUACCUAGGAUCCAGGAGCAAGGCAGAGCCAGCAAGGUACCAAGUCCGUCAUGCUCAAAUGUCAUACUGGCAGGCCCAGCUAAAAAGUCGGAAAGGCCUGGACAAGGAAAGAAAGA